CAGAAGUCAGGUCGGAUUAAGCCAUAGUACGGAAAAAACUAUGCUACC
rnacentral:lncRNA from 1 species